GAGGGGUGCUAGCGUUGUCCGGAAUCAUUGGGCGUAAAGGGUCCGUAGGUGUCUUUGCAAGUCGUUUGUUACAUCCACCGGCUUAACCGGUGCCUGCAAUCGAAACUGCAAGGAUAGAGUUCGAGAGAGGAAAGUGGAAUUCCUGGUGUAGCGGUGACAUGCGUAGAUAUCAGGAGGAACACCAAUGGCGAAGGCAGCUUUCUGGCUCGAUACUGACACUGAGGGACGAAAGCGUGGGGAGCGAACAGGAUUAGAUACCCUGGUAGUCCACGCCGUAAACGAUGAGUACUUGUAGUCGGAGGAUUCGACCCCUUCGGUAUCGUAGCUAACGCGUUAAGUACUCCGCCUGGGGACUACGGCCGCAACGUAAACUCAAAGGAAUUGACGGGGACCCGCACAAGCGUGGAACAUGUGGUUUAAUUCGAUGCAACGCGAAGAACCUUACCCUGGCUUGACAUGUUCAUGAAAGCUUUGUGAAAGCAGAGCCUCUGCGAGCUUGCUCAAAGACAUGAUCACAGGUGGUGCAUGGCUGUCGUCAGCUCGUUGAGAUGUUUGGUUAAGUCCAGCAACGAGCGCAACCCCUUUCCUUAGUUGCCAGCACAUUAUGGUGGGGACUCUAAGGAUACUGCCUGGGAUAACCAGGAGAAAGGUGGGGAUGAUGUCAAGUCAGUAUGUCCCUUAUGUCCAGGGCUACACACGUGUUACAAGGCUAGUACAAAGGGUUGCCAACCCGCGAGGGGGAGCCAAUCCCAAAAAACUAGCCCCAGUUCAGAUUGGAGUCUGCAACUCGACUCCAUGAAGGAGGAAUCGCUAGUAAUCGUGGAUCAGCACGCCACGGUGAAUACGUUCCCGGGUCUU
rnacentral:rRNA from 1 species